AGCUGUUUUUGGACUACAACUCCCAUCAUCCCUGACCACUGGUUCAGCUAGCUAGGGAUGAUGGGAGUUGUAGUCCAAAAGCAGUU